AAAAAGUUGUAUAAUAUGACCGCUUUAAACAAACAAAAAUAAUGCUAGAUAAUUACAUUUUGCAAUCAGUAGCUAAAGCUUCCUUUAAGCUUAGUGAGAUAAUGCAUCAACAGUCCAGAGCCCAGAUGUAUAAAUGGCGUGUGUGUGUGUGUGUGUGUGUCUUGCAGUGUGCACAACUAUUCCUGUAAAGACUGCAUGAAAUUACAUAAGGCAGGAGUUGUUGUGUGCUUAGUGAAAUAAAUAUUUUAAUUUGUUGUGCUUCUCCUUGUCUGGUCAUUUCCACACGCCGCGAUACAAAUGAUAAUUUUUGAUAUUUUUUGAAAAAGACUGAAACACAGUAUCACCUAUAAAUUGGCCCCAAAGUGCAAAAAUAUCACAAAAUUAAUAUAU